AGAGUUUGAUCCUGGCUCAGGACGAACGCUGGCGGCGUGCUUAACACAUGCAAGUCGAGCGGUAAGGCCCUUCGGGGUACACGAGCGGCGAACGGGUGAGUAACACGUGGGUAACCUGCCCUGUACUCUGGGAUAAGCCUGGGAAACUAGGUCUAAUACCGGAUAUGACAUUCCAUCGCAUGGUGGGGUGUGGAAAGUUCCGGCGGUACAGGAUGGACCCGCGGCCUAUCAGCUUGUUGGUGGGGUAAUGGCCUACCAAGGCGACGACGGGUAGCCGGCCUGAGAGGGCGACCGGCCACACUGGGACUGAGACACGGCCCAGACUCCUACGGGAGGCAGCAGUGGGGAAUAUUGCACAAUGGGCGAAAGCCUGAUGCAGCGACGCCGCGUGAGGGAUGACGGCCUUCGGGUUGUAAACCUCUUUCAGUAGGGACGAAGCGCAAGUGACGGUACCUACAGAAGAAGCACCGGCUAACUACGUGCCAGCAGCCGCGGUAAUACGUAGGGUGCGAGCGUUGUCCGGAAUUAUUGGGCGUAAAGAGCUCGUAGGCGGUUUGUUGCGUCGGCUGUGAAAACCUACAGCUUAACUGUGGGCCUGCAGUCGAUACGGGCAGACUUGAGUUCGGCAGGGGAGACUGGAAUUCCUGGUGUAGCGGUGAAAUGCGCAGAUAUCAGGAGGAACACCGGUGGCGAAGGCGGGUCUCUGGGCCGAUACUGACGCUGAGGAGCGAAAGCGUGGGGAGCGAACAGGAUUAGAUACCCUAGUAGUCC
rnacentral:rRNA from 1 species